rnacentral:rRNA from 1 species
UAACCUGCCCAAGAGAUCGGGAUAACACCUGGAAACAGAUGCUAAUACCGGAUAACAACAGAUGAUGCCUAUCAACUGUUUAAAAGAUGGUUCUGCUAUCACUCUUGGAUGGACCUGCGGUGCAUUAGCUAGUUGGUAGGGUAACGGCCUACCAAGGCGAUGAUGCAUAGCCGAGUUGAGAGACUGAUCGGCCACAUUGGGACUGAGACACGGCCCAAACUCCUACGGGAGGCCAGCAGCG